AUUUAGAAAUAUGAUGAGAGUGCUUUCGUCAUUUUAUAAAAUGUAUGAGCUACGAAUCGUUCGAAAAACUUGAUAUCAACUUACAUCACUUGGCGACCCUCUCAAAAUGAAGCGCAUCAACAGAUGCUCUGUAUGGUUAACAAUAAAACAAAAAUAAGCUGGCAAUUUGUUAAAGUUGAAGGUUUGGCGUUGUGGGCUUGUCAACGGAUCAUGCUCUUGUUCUUUCUGCUUGAUUAAACUUGAAAUUUAUUGUAUUGCAA